rnacentral:ncRNA from 2 species
AUGUUCCGUUAGGGGUGCCCGGAAGGGCUGAGAGCAUACCCUUAAACCUGAUCCGGUUCGUACCGGCGGAGGGAAACGGUUUUGAUAAAAA